UUUAUUGGGCCUAAAACGUCCGUAGCCGGUCUGAUACAUUCUUGGUGUAAAUCAACCAGCUCAACUGGUUGAAUUCUGCGAGGACCGUCAGACUUGGGACCGGGAGAGGUGUGGGGUACUCUCAGGGUAACGGGUAAAAUCCUGUCAUCCUGAGCGGACCACCUGUUGCGAAGGCGCCACACUAGAACGGAUCCGACGGUCAAGGACGAAACCUAGGGGCACGAACCGGAUUAGAUACCCGGGUAGUCCUAGGUGUAAACGCUGUGGACUUGAUGUUGGGGGUGCUCCGAGCACUCUCAGUGUCGAAGCGAAGGUGAUAAGUCCACUGCCUGGGAAGUACGGUCGCAAGGCUGAAACUU
rnacentral:rRNA from 1 species